rnacentral:rRNA from 1 species
CCAGAGAACUUUCCAGAGAUGGAUUGGUGCCUUCGGGAACUCUGAGACAGGUGCUGCAUGGCUGUCGUCAGCUCGUGUUGUGAAAUGUUGGGUUAAGUCCCGCAACCGAGCGCAACCCUUAUCCUUUGUUGCCAGCGGUCCGGCCGGGAACUCAAAGGAGACUGCCAGUGAUAAACUGGAGGAAGGUGGGGAUGACGUCAAGUCAUCAUGGCCCUUACGAGUAGGGCUACACACGUGCUACAAUGGCGCAUACAAAGAGAAGCGACCUCGCGAGAGCAAGCGGACCUCAUAAAGUGCGUCGUAGUCCGGAUUGGAGUCUGCAACUCGACUCCAUGAAGUCGGAAUCGCUAGUAAUCGUGGAUCAGAAUGCCACGGUGAAUACGUUCCCGGGCCUUGUACACACCGCCCGUCACACCAUGGGAGUGGGUUGCAAAAGAAGUAGGUAGCUUAACCUUCGGGAGGGCGCUUACCACUUUGUGAUUCAUGACUGGGGUGAAGUCGUAACAAGGUAGGCGUAGUGCU